rnacentral:lncRNA from 1 species
AAUAACACGCUUCAACGAGCGUUGAUUACCCGUUCAGGUUGAGUAGCGCUGUGCUGCUGAUGAGGGGUGUCAGAAUACCGUUCGAAUUCACUUCCGCCCGACGUGACAAAUGGAUCCUUUUGGAGGAGAUAAAAAAGAAAAAGUUUAGAGCUCUGAAACAAUUCCCCUUCACAUUGGUCGGCAACCACGUAACCAAGUCUGUGUGAGUUGUCGACCUUGGAAAGAAUAGAACGUCCCUAAUGAAAGUAUCCAAUUAAUUGUUCGCACCAUCUAACGAAAAAGACGAAACUGUUGAUUCAAUCACUAUUUAGUCGGACAACAGCUGGCGGAAUGGCGACGAGGGAAAAGGAAAGUGAUGUGUGCCUUGGCCGCUGCGUUCCAAUGGACUGUUGUUGGACCAAGGGGCCGGGGCCCAACCGAUUUGGCGUCUGUGCUGCUCUUUGCUUUGCGGCCGCUUUAGAGUCGAUGCGAAGAAGACCCUUGGCGUAUCCGGAGCAACGCCGAAUCUACUUUUGGAUCGUCGUCUACUACUACUUUUUUUGUCCUAGUUUCCCAAUUCACCACGCAACUCCCCACAGGAGUUUUUCAGAAUAAUCGGAUCGUUGACUGGGCUUAUCUUAUCUUGACUGACAAAGAAAUAGAAGGCUAAUUUCUGAUGAAAUCCAGUUGAUGAUUGAAUGGCGACUCCACCAAGUCCCAUCGAACGCCGCCCACUCUGACAUUUUUAGGUGGUGACCUGUAUUCGCGAAGCUGACUCACUUGUGCCGUUGUAUUCUUGGGAUAGAGUAGUUUACAUGGCCAAGGAAACUAAUACCUUGGAGCUAUGGACUGUCAUGUGAAAGAAAAGGCCUAUUUCUAAAUGACAACUGGGGGAUUGCAACUGCGACGAAACGUGAAAAUCCAGGGGAAAAAAAGAAUCGGAAAUAACUUCUAGACUGACCGGAUUUAUCUAUUGUAUGUACAAUAGCGAAUGUGUAAACAGCGCUGGCUUCUACAGAAGAUCAGGUAAGAAAUAAAUUCUGUCAACUUGUUUUUUUACAUUAGAACAACCAAACAUGUAGCGCGGUAUUUUGUAAAUUAAUAUUCGUUGGUGUUAAUCGAUCAAACGGUUGACAAAAAAUUGAGGUUACGCUAAUUUUCUUUGCAUUGCUUUAAGCUCGUUCAUCUCACACCGUAAAACAAUGCGAAAUCUUUGGGAGCCAAACAAAACAACAACUCCCCUAGUUGCCCCAGUCGUAUGUCAGUGACGCAUCGCAGUGCGGUUCCAUGGGCCAGUCUCACGUCUCGGGAAUAUUCUUUCAAUUCUCGCUGCUGCUACUGUAGUUGUCGAGCGCCUCCCGCUCCCGGCGUUUGCCAAGUGCCACCUCACUGAGGGCCACGCAUUUUAUAACGCUGAUGUUUCAGUUACAAAAAUAGACGGAAGCGACGAUGGGCCAUCACAAUAAUAUACACAGCCAGUCUAUAAGCAAGAUUAGAGAUCCAUCUGCCGACAGUUUCCCCUAAAUUAGCUGCAGGAAAUUGAAAAAAACCAACCAACGAACUCUGUUGGUUGAUAUCAAGACUAGGGCGUGCGGGACUAUGCGGCUAAAUGUGCAAAUGUAACAACACCGAGCUAACCUGGGCGUCCGAAUAGGAACGAAGAAUCGGUUUUCGAUGAACUCGUGGCGGAGGCGGUGGCGGAACUUUAGGACUUUGCUGCUUUAUGACUGGCUGAUUUAGCGGCAAGUCUUCCGGUCGAUUUUGAUACAGCUCGUACAGCUUCUGGGGGAUUAAAUCGUAGUCUUGUUGUUUCGGGGGAAAGAAAACAUUUGGCAGUUGUUUCGUCGGCGGAGAAAUGUAGGCUUCUUGAUUUUGCGGCUGGAAAGUUGUAUAAGGGUUGGGCUGCUGCUGCUGCUGCUGGAUCGGAAUUCCAAUCGUUCCGUUGUCGUAUCCGUACUUGCGUGUUUCAAUCGUUUCGAUUGGAUUGGCUGGCGGUGGCCAAGCGACACGUUUCCUUUCUAUUAUACCAAUCAAAUAUUGAUCCCUAAAUAAUAAAAACAGUUGACUUGAUUUACCUGAAAAUUCCGAAGUAACCGCUGAAAUCUGUUGCCGGUGCAUGUAACGUAGUUGCGGCUCUUCCUCGGAAAGCAUCUUGUAAACUUCUGAAUUUUUCAAAUUUGGUACCGACAACAAUCUGAAAUCAACCCUGAAUAAUCCGAUUAUUAAACUAUUUGUUAGGUGGUGCUUCCAUCUCUAGAAUCGUACGUCACAUUCUUUUGCAGAUUCUAUUUUUAAAUGCCGAGGCAGCCCGUCAAAGCGGAUUGAAACAAACUUGAAAGGGUUAAAACCCGACGGAGAUGUCACCGUACGUAUCUUUUUCAUAUCAAAACAUAACUUUUAGUCAAGAUUAUAUAUACAAAGCUACAUCAAUGUCCAUAAUAGUAAGUAGCCAACUCUGGCGAAACUUGUACGAGCCUCCUUAUAAAAAUAGAUGCGACUCUCACUACCUCGUAACUACUAAUGCCCCUUCCUUUUUAUUAACUAGCUAGGAACUUUGGUUUAUAAUGGAAAUCGACCAUUCUAUAGGUCUCUCUUGGCCUGACUCAUUCUCUAGCAAUGUCCUAUCGUCUAUACGUAUAGGCUCCCCAAAUUUAGAAUAGAUAGCACGUGAACAACAGUUUAUACAGCGCUCGCUAACACAUUUUCAAUUUCUUAUUGUACUAAAUUCUUCCUAUUGUUUUAAAUAUUUUCCCGUCGGGGUUUCAAACUUUUUCGGUCGCUAUUGAAAGCUAGAGAAUUGCGCGUACAGUAUUCGUUCGUAGUUGACAAGUUUUGGGCACGUCAGUCACUACAAGAAUGUUGAGAACGGUAUGCGUAAUAAAUUCUCGUGAACAACAAAGCAAAUUCAAUUUCAGCCAUUUACUCACGUUUGUACCUCAACUCCUGUAGGGACACUGUAUUGUUCAACUCGAUCCGGAAUCAGAGAAACGCCAAAUGAUAAACGAAUUCAAUCCAAAGAACCAGCAAGAAGUUAGUCAAUGUUUUUUGUUGCUAGCUGCAAAGCAACUGUCGCCUAUGGGUUUUUCUAUUAUGAAUAACGCUGCUGGGCAACAGUAGGAGGUGACUUGGCCGUCUCUCAAUAAAUGCAAGAACUUACUAGUUGAUUUGUUUCUACCGCCAAGUGUAAAAAAGAGAAUACGGGGGCAGAGAAAAGAAUCCAAAUCGUUCGAUAUUCCAUGUAUAAAAAAACAAAUUCCAUCAUGACUCAUUAUAUUUUUUAAUUUUAUCAUCACAUGAGCUUACGCAACGUUGCAUUAGUACUACCUGCAGAUUUUAAUCACUUAAACAAUUAGCACCGAUUGAUUAUAUCGUUAGACCUAUAUACAUUUUGUUCCGUUACGCAACCUGUUUUGCCAAACAACAACCUACACUAAUGAUUUAACUUAAGUGUUUUUGAUCAGAAAUAUAGCAUUCAGCAUUUGUAAUUGAACAAUUGUUAGAUGUCAAUACUACUAACUCACCCAACAGCCCCGUUGCCCAAUGGACGAGUGUGGCGUUGUAGCGUUUCGACUACUUCUUCAGUCGAGGACAAAUCUAGCGGAGAAUAAGAGUUGAUGUUCAUAUUCGAAUUUUACGAAAUUUCAGUAUGAAAGGACAAUGUUUUUGUCUGGCCAGUUGGCGUUGUAGCCAAGCAGCAGCAUGACUGAAGCAGAUAUACCACCCAGAGAAAGAGAAAUCUCUGGAGAUACUACUCUAGCAAGCGUUGAAAGCUUAAAAUAGUCUAUAUCGUAGCGAUUGUUCCAGAUUUCAUCGCUAGGAGACGCAGUUUCAAGUAAAAAUUCAAUCACAUUUGAUUUACCAAAUUGUGUUUGGGCAGGAGUAUGGAGAGUCUCUUACUCUCCAUCUCCAUGCCCAUGGUUAGGCUGUUAAACCAUCUAUCACCGAAUUGUUCAAAUCUUCUUGGAUUCGAUUGUUCCCCCAAAGUUGUAUAUUUGUAUACAUUAUGUUUCAAAAUAAAUACUUGAAAAGCAUUGUUGAAGUUACUUACACCUUACUUACCUUACCUUACCUUACCUUACUUGUUGUUUUGAUCAAAGUGAAAGCAAGAUAUUUAUGUAUUGGUUUCAUUUGUUGCUGUAUUGGUAUUUUUUAAAUUUUAGCGCGAAGCGAAAGAUAAGAUACCUAUUACCCUAACCGACAAACUUCAAAGUAAAAAGCUAUGAAGAAUAUUAUGAGCAGAGCAGUGUUCAUAGAAACUAUUUCCGUUGAAAUAUUUCCGUUGAAAUUAAAGAUCCCGUUUUGAAUAUGAAAAAAAAAGAAUUUCUUAAUAAAAAAAUUUGACACUAUGAAUCGGCAAUGUUGCUUUUCAUUCUUUUUGCAGUUGUUUACGUUAAACAUGAGCAGACGAAGGUGUUUACUGUUGACAGGUGUCGAUCUGUUACAUGUUUUGUGGUUCCUGGAAAUCUCCUUGAUGAAUAAUGAUGUGAUGAUGUGACCGUGUAGAGGUGCAAUGAAAUGACCUGAGUUAAAGAUUUAUGUGAAACUUCUUCAUCAUUGGAAUUGGAACAUGCAUCAUUUGAAAACGCAGAGAGAAAACCUGUAUAAUCUUAUGAGGAGGAAACGCGAAAAGGUCGUGCAGUCUACCGUCAACUAUUUUGUUAAAUAUUAUUACAUCCUACUGAAUGUUCUGUCAAAAUGAUACAGAUUACCAACUCCAGCAUUGACCAAUCUCUCAUUUCAUCUUCUAGACAUCUAGAGAACUUUGGAGAACUGAUCGGUGGUUUCAUGUUCUAAGUUACAAGUUUCUAAAUUGACAUGACAGACUUUAUGAGAAGUCAUAUGUAAUUUCAAGAAAAAGGCACAGGACUAUGCAGUCAACACGAUUCCUUGUUUGCCAACCGUUGGCUGCCACCAUUGAUUCUCCCUUUUUACUUCCUUAAACAGGCCCUCUUGAUUUGAGGAUCUAAACUCCAGGUUUCUAAAUUUGCAUGGCUGACUUUAUGAGAAGUCAUGUCCUUUCAAGAAAGUCAACAACGGCACUUGUUUACUAACCUGUUGACUGCUACCCUUGAAUCUCCCUUUUUACUCUCUAAAGCGGGCCAUCUUAAUUUGAGGGUAAAUCCUUCGCUACUUAUCGUGGACUUUAUCCGUUGCUGAAAACCGACGAGAGCAUGCUGUCAUUCCAGACUGUUGAAUUGUGUAGUAAGAUUAAAUUACAAGUGCAUAUCUGGGCUCCCUUCUUUUCCGUGGCCCCGUUUCCCUAACUAACCACUAACCAACGCCCGCCGGUGGUCACUCACCCGCUGUGAAACCAG